UACCAGCACCCCGAGUGGUCGGGACGAUUAUUGGGCCUAAAGCAUCCGUAGCCGGCCUUACAAGUCCUCCGUUAAAUCCAGCUGCUUAACAGAUGGGCUGCGGAGGAUACUAUGAGACUAGGAGGCAGGAGAGGCAAGCGGUACUCAGUGGGUAGGGGUAAAAUCCGUUGAUCCAUUGAAGACCACCAGUGGCGAAGGCGGCUCACUGGCCCGGUACUGACGCUGAGGUGCGAAAGCGUGGGGAGCAAACAGG
rnacentral:rRNA from 1 species